UGACACAGGCAGCACCCUUUUGCAGAAGUAGAUGUGCGUUGCUGAGAAAUUUUCUGCCUAAGUUCUGGUUUUCUUUGCAGCACCCAGCAUUUGUUUCUAACACAGGGAAAGAGUGAGCUGGAGAAACCUCUCAAAUUCAAGAAAGCGUAAAGCAAAUUGAACAAUACGGGUGAGGAGCACGGACUAUUCUCUCAUGUUGAAUGUGGCACUUUUUACAUACAAGCAGGAGAGCAACUACACCAAGAUUUUGGAAAACAUGUUAUGUAAGGUUAAUUGUGACCUCUAUGAUGGGGAUAUGAUAAAGAAGAAAAGUACCUCACAGCGAUGAUUGGCAUGUGAUCACUUAGCCAAUGAGAUAAGAGGCUGUAGAAACGAUGUGAUAAUGACAUCUCCUGAGUUGCAGGUCCAUAUUAGAAGUGGAUAUGAAGUAAACAUUGAGCUUUCCUCACAUUUAAUUAACAAGCUUUAUUAUAGAUACAGCUCAAAUUAGUUAAUUCAGGAAGCUUAUUUUGUAGAAAUUAAAACAUUAAUAAACACAUACAUUUAGAAAUAAAGAACUCGGCUGACCCUUUGACUCUUUGAAACAAGUGGCCUUCCAUGCUGUGAAAGAUUGUAGCCACUCUUUGAGACAUUGGAAUGGUGUCCAUUGCAUUUUAUCAAGUUAACUAUAGGUCAGCCUGGGAAAUCUGAAGUUUCCUUAUCUCCUGUCACUGUGGUUGCUGUGAGAUUUUGUGUCAUCACUGUGCUGUCUUCCCUCUCCACAUGAAGGUGAGCUGUCUGGCUUCACUCUAACGUUUGUGAUUUCACGCCCGACCUGAUUGUUGCCAAGCAAUUCCUUUGUUUGGAGAAUUCUGUGCUUUGUUUAGAAUUUUUUAAAGGUUCUUUUCCUGUGGUCAGAUUUCUGUUUGCUACUGUGUCUUAUGCCUUGUUCUCCUACAGAGAAGAUUCUUUGAAGUUAGUGGAAGCUCAGCUUAAAGGAAGAUCUACUGCUCUGUGUGGUGGAUGACCAUGGGGGAGCGAGAAGGCAGCCUCCGGCUUUUGUUUUGUGUGUGUGUGUGUGUGUGUGUGUGUGUGAUGUACCUGGAAAAAUAACACGACUAGGAUUAAAGAGUAUGUUUGGCAUGUUUAAAAUAAAUUGUAAACCAAACGUAUUUUAAAGAAUUUAUACAAAUUUGUCAUUUAGUAAAAUGAAUGACUAUUGAGUAUUCAUGUCAAUAAAACAACCACUUGAAUACAACAAAGCAUGCGUUGCGCAUGUUUCUCCCACUGUUUUUCUCCAUCUAUAACCUCCCUACUCAUCAGUUUGAGAUUUUUUAUAUGGAAUAAGUGUGGUUCUUGCAAGGAAAUUAUCUUUAGAAUAAGGAUAAAGUAUUUAAGAAUAUGUACUUAAAACUUAGCAAACCCAUUGGAAAAUGAUCCAGAAAAAUGGUAUUCAGAGAUAAAAAUCAGAAUGUGUUUGGGAGAAGAGCACUGACGAAGGUUGGUGUAUGUGGC
rnacentral:lncRNA from 1 species